CAGUGGCGAACGGGUGAGUAACACGUGAGCAACCUGCCCCUGACUCUGGGAUAAGCGCUGGAAACGGCGUCUAAUACUGGAUACGAACCACGAAGGCAUCUUCAGUGGUUGGAAAGAAUUUCGGUUGGGGAUGGGCUCGCGGCCUAUCAGCUUGUUGGUGAGGUAAUGGCUCACCAAGGCGUCGACGGGUAGCCGGCCUGAGAGGGUGACCGGCCACACUGGGACUGAGACACGGCCCAGACUCCUACGGGAGGCAGCAGUGGGGAAUAUUGCACAAUGGGCGAAAGCCUGAUGCAGCAACGCCGCGUGAGGGAUGACGGCCUUCGGGUUGUAAACCUCUUUUAGCAGGGAAGAAGCGAAAGUGACGGUACCUGCAGAAAAAGCGCCGGCUAACUACGUGCCAGCAGCCGCGGUAAUACGUAGGGCGCAAGCGUUAUCCGGAAUUAUUGGGCGUAAAGAGCUCGUAGGCGGUUUGUCGCGUCUGCUGUGAAAUCCGGAGGCUCAACCUCCGGCCUGCAGUGGGUACGGGCAGACUAGAGUGCGGUAGGGGAGAUUGGAAUUCCUGGUGUAGCGGUGGAAUGCGCAGAUAUCAGGAGGAACACCGAUGGCGAAGGCAGAUCUCUGGGCCGUAACUGACGCUGAGGAGCGAAAGGGUGGGGAGCAAACAGGCUUAGAUACCCUGGUAGUCCACCCCGUAAACGUUGGGAACUAGUUGUGGGGUCCAUUCCACGGAUUCCGUGACGCAACUAACGCAUUAAGUUCCCCGCCUGGAGAGUACGGCCGCAAGGCUAAAACUCAAAGGAAUUGACGGGGACC
rnacentral:rRNA from 1 species